GGUUAAGCGACUAAGCGUACACGGUGGAUGCCCUGGCAGUCAGAGGCGAUGAAGGACGUGCUAAUCUGCGAUAAGCGUCGGUGAGGUGAUAUGAACCGUUAUAACCGGCGAUUUCCGAAUGGGGAAACCCAGUGUGUUUCGACACACUAUCAUUAACUGAAUCCAUAGGUUAAUGAGGCGAACCGGGGGAACUGAAACAUCUAAGUACCCCGAGGAAAAGAAAUCAACCGAGAUUCCCCCAGUAGCGGCGAGCGAACGGGGAGCAGCCCAGAGCCUGAAUCAGUGUGUGUGUUAGUGGAAGCGUCUGGAAAGGCGUGCGAUACAGGGUGACAGCCCCGUACACAAAAAUGCACAUACUGUGAGCUCGAUGAGUAGGGCGGGACACGUGGUAUCCUGUCUGAAUAUGGGGGGACCAUCCUCCAAGGCUAAAUACUCCUGACUGACCGAUAGUGAACCAGUACCGUGAGGGAAAGGCGAAAAGAACCCCGGCGAGGGGAGUGAAAAAGAACCUGAAACCGUGUACGUACAAGCAGUGGGAGCCUCUUAAUGGGGUGACUGCGUACCUUUUGUAUAAUGGGUCAGCGACUUAUAUUCUGUAGCAAGGUUAACCGAAUAGGGGAGCCGAAGGGAAACCGAGUCUUAACUGGGCGUUAAGUUGCAGGGUAUAGACCCGAAACCCGGUGAUCUAGCCAUGGGCAGGUUGAAGGUUGGGUAACACUAACUGGAGGACCGAACCGACUAAUGUUGAAAAAUUAGCGGAUGACUUGUGGCUGGGGGUGAAAGGCCAAUCAAACCGGGAGAUAGCUGGUUCUCCCCGAAAGCUAUUUAGGUAGCGCCUCGUGAAUUCAUCUCCGGGGGUAGAGCACUGUUUCGGCAAGGGGGUCAUCCCGACUUACCAACCCGAUGCAAACUGCGAAUACCGGAGAAUGUUAUCACGGGAGACACACGGCGGGUGCUAACGUCCGUCGUGAAGAGGGAAACAACCCAGACCGCCAGCUAAGGUCCCAAAGUCAUGGUUAAGUGGGAAACGAUGUGGGAAGGCCCAGACAGCCAGGAUGUUGGCUUAGAAGCAGCCAUCAUUUAAAGAAAGCGUAAUAGCUCACUGGUCGAGUCGGCCUGCGCGGAAGAUGUAACGGGGCUAAACCAUGCACCGAAGCUGCGGCAGCGACACUAUGUGUUGUUGGGUAGGGGAGCGUUCUGUAAGCCUGCGAAGGUGUACUGUGAGGUAUGCUGGAGGUAUCAGAAGUGCGAAUGCUGACAUAAGUAACGAUAAAGCGGGUGAAAAGCCCGCUCGCCGGAAGACCAAGGGUUCCUGUCCAACGUUAAUCGGGGCAGGGUGAGUCGACCCCUAAGGCGAGGCCGAAAGGCGUAGUCGAUGGGAAACAGGUUAAUAUUCCUGUACUUGGUGUUACUGCGAAGGGGGGACGGAGAAGGCUAUGUUGGCCGGGCGACGGUUGUCCCGGUUUAAGCGUGUAGGCUGAUUUUCCAGGCAAAUCCGGAAAAUCAAGGCUGAGGCGUGAUGACGAGGCACUACGGUGCUGAAGCAACAAAUGCACUGCUUCCAGGAAAAGCCUCUAAGCAUCAGGUAACAUCAAAUCGUACCCCAAACCGACACAGGUGGUCAGGUAGAGAAUACCAAGGCGCUUGAGAGAACUCGGGUGAAGGAACUAGGCAAAAUGGUGCCGUAACUUCGGGAGAAGGCACGCUGAUAUGUAGGUGAAGUCCCUUGCGGAUGGAGCUGAAAUCAGUCGAAGAUACCAGCUGGCUGCAACUGUUUAUUAAAAACACAGCACUGUGCAAACACGAAAGUGGACGUAUACGGUGUGACGCCUGCCCGGUGCCGGAAGGUUAAUUGAUGGGGUUAGCGGUAACGCGAAGCUCUUGAUCGAAGCCCCGGUAAACGGCGGCCGUAACUAUAACGGUCCUAAGGUAGCGAAAUUCCUUGUCGGGUAAGUUCCGACCUGCACGAAUGGCGUAAUGAUGGCCAGGCUGUCUCCACCCGAGACUCAGUGAAAUUGAACUCGCUGUGAAGAUGCAGUGUACCCGCGGCAAGACGGAAAGACCCCGUGAACCUUUACUAUAGCUUGACACUGAACAUUGAGCCUUGAUGUGUAGGAUAGGUGGGAGGCUUUGAAGUGUGGACGCCAGUCUGCAUGGAGCCGGCCUUGAAAUACCACCCUUUAAUGUUUGAUGUUCUAACGUUGGCCCCUGAUCGGGGUUGCGGACAGUGUCUGGUGGGUAGUUUGACUGGGGCGGUCUCCUCCUAAAGAGUAACGGAGGAGCACGAAGGUUGGCUAAUCCUGGUCGGACAUCAGGAGGUUAGUGCAAUGGCAUAAGCCAGCUUGACUGCGAGCGUGACGGCGCGAGCAGGUGCGAAAGCAGGUCAUAGUGAUCCGGUGGUUCUGAAUGGAAGGGCCAUCGCUCAACGGAUAAAAGGUACUCCGGGGAUAACAGGCUGAUACCGCCCAAGAGUUCAUAUCGACGGCGGUGUUUGGCACCUCGAUGUCGGCUCAUCACAUCCUGGGGCUGAAGUAGGUCCCAAGGGUAUGGCUGUUCGCCAUUUAAAGUGGUACGCGAGCUGGGUUUAGAACGUCGUGAGACAGUUCGGUCCCUAUCUGCCGUGGGCGCUGGAGAACUGAGGGGGGCUGCUCCUAGUACGAGAGGACCGGAGUGGACGCAUCACUGGUGUUCGGGUUGUCAUGCCAAUGGCACUGCCCGGUAGCUAAAUGCGGAAGAGAUAAGUGCUGAAAGCAUCUAAGCACGAAACUUGCCCCGAGAUGAGUUCUCCCUGACUCCUUGAGAGUCCUGAAGGAACGUUGAAGACGACGACGUUGAUAGGCCGGGUGUGUAAGCGCAGCGAUGCGUUGAGCUAACCGGUACUAAUGAACCGUGAGGCUUAACCUU
rnacentral:rRNA from 1 species